rnacentral:rRNA from 1 species
UACGUAGGGUGCGAGCGUUGUCCGGAAUUAUUGGGCGUAAAGAGCUUGUAGGCGGUUUGUCGCGGCUGCUGUGAAAAUCCGGGGCUUAACCCCGGACUUGCAGUGGGUACGGGCAGACUAGAGUGUGGUAGGGGAGACUGGAAUUCCUGGUGUAGCGGUGGAAUGCGCAGAUAUUAGGAGGAACACCGAUGGCGAAGGCAGGUCUCUGGGCCACUACUGAUGCUGAGAAGCGAAAGCAUGGGGAGCGAACAGG